UACGAAGGGGGAGCUAGCGUUGUUCGGAAUUACCGGGCGUAAAGGGCGCGUAGGCGGUGUGUCAAGUCAGGCGUGAAAGCCCCGGGCUCAACCUGGGAACAGCGCUUGAGACUGGCACGCUCGAGUUCGGGAGAGGAUGGUGGAAUUCCCAGUGUAGAGGUGAAAUUCGUAGAUAUUGGGAAGAACACCGAUGGCGAAGGCAGCCAUCUGGACCGACACUGACGCUGAGGCGCGAAAGCGUGGGGAGCAAACAGG
rnacentral:rRNA from 1 species